AAGAAAUUAGUUAAAUAAUAACUUUAAAAUGUCAAUUUAAAAUUACCGUUAGGUAUUUCUUG
rnacentral:tRNA from 1 species